GACGAACGCUGGCGGCGUGCUUAACACAUGCAAGUCGAGCGAGGCCCCUCCUUCGGGAGGGUGUCCUAGCGGCGAACGGGUGAGUAACACGUGGGCAACCUGCCCUCAGCUCUGGGAUAACUCCGGGAAACCGGGGCUAAUACCGGAUACGACUUCCACGGGCAUCUGCGGAGGUGGAAAGUUUUUCGGCUGAGGAUGGGCCCGCGGCCUAUCAGCUAGUUGGUGGGGUAGUGGCCCACCAAGGCGACGACGGGUAGCCGGCCUGAGAGGGCGACCGGCCACACUGGGACUGAGACACGGCCCAGACUCCUACGGGAGGCAGCAGUGGGGAAUAUUGCGCAAUGGGCGAAAGCCUGACGCAGCGACGCCGCGUGAGGGACGAAGGCCUUCGGGUUGUAAACCUCUUUCAGCAGGGACGAAGCGAAAGUGACGGUACCUGCAGAAGAAGCACCGGCCAACUACGUG
rnacentral:rRNA from 1 species